rnacentral:rRNA from 1 species
AGGACGAACGCUGGCGGCGUGCUUAACACAUGCAAGUCGAGCGGUAAGGCCCUUUCGGGGGUACACGAGCGGCGAACGGGUGAGUAACACGUGAGCAAUCUGCCCUUCACUUCGGGAUAAGCCUCGGAAACGGGGUCUAAUACCGGAUAUGACUGCGCCAUGCAUGUGGUGUGGUGGAAAGUUCUGGCGGUGAGGGAUGAGCUCGCGGCCUAUCAGCUUGUUGGUGGGGUAAUGGCCUACCAAGGCUUCGACGGGGUAGCCGGCCUGAGAGGGUGACCGGCCACACUGGGACUGAGACACGGCCCAGACUCCUACGGAGGCAGCAGUGGGAAUAUUGGACAAUGGGACGAAAGCCUGAUCCAG